GCAGUCGUGGCAGAGUCCGGUUAUAAUGCAGUAGGCUUGAGACUUACCGUUGUCCCUAGCGGCAACCGAAGGUUCAAAUCCUUCCGACUGCGUCA
rnacentral:tRNA from 1 species